UGUGGAUAUUGUUUUUCGGAUUUCAAGACAGUGAAGAAGACUGUGGGGUCGGUGUUCCAGGACUAGCGCACUUACAGGCCUGCUAUGAGUGCUUCAUCUCUAGCUGAACAAUGCAGUUCACCUCAACCAGUCCAGAGCAAACACAGUUCACAGACAACAGGAGCAGUGGGCAGGAGUCAUGCCCGCAGGCUUUGUCAGCAUGGAUUAAUAGCUGAAAUCAACACAGUGUCCUCAACCUACCACUGUAGAUCAGCUGAAGGAAGGUGAAGUGGCAGAAGAAAGAGUCAAGACACCACUCUGAGUCCCGAAAGUCCUUUGAGAAUGCACCAGGAUAUUUGAUAUUUGUCUGCUAACAGCAUUCUGUUUUUCCAAAGUUGUGAAUCAGUGAAGUCCUUUCUGCUUGUUUCUAGUCCUUUAGAGGUGAUAGUAACUGAGGUCAUUAUAAACAUAAUCACUGGGAAACAGUCAGAUAUGACUUCUGUGGCAGAUUUGUUCCUUUUAAAUUCUGUAGCUGCUGUUGUGUGCAAUUAUAUGUGAUCAUUACUUUUCUGCAAGAGCAGUUCUUUCACUCUUGAGUAAAGGCAACAUACUGUUUCCAUGUUAAAUAGUCACUUAGAAAUGACAAAAGUACAAUGUAGAUGACAUAUAACAUUUAAAUAAAGCACAGUCAUUAGUGUUGCAGGUCAUAAACCAGACUAAUGGACAAAGUGAGAUUUUGCCCUGAUAAAGGUGCUAUAGGAGAGGUUGAUUUAUUGUGUGGGAAUUGUGACUGCCUGUGCUGUAUUUUAGGGCAAGGGAUCUACACAGCAGAAACUGACAACAUCAGAACACAUGCAAAGAGAGGUCAGUGGUCAUCAAGCAUAAGUCAGCGCACAACCAGAAGAAAAUCAAGGAGGACAUUCACAUCUGACAGCACAGCCUGUUAUCAAAAAGGUCAUGCUGGGGUCUGGUGGUAAAACAAAGGUGUGAAUUACAGGGGGGUUUAGGGACUUUGGCCAUCCCAAAGAAGGUGAAAAUAACAGUUUGGGGUAGCUGGGGCUGAGGUCAAAACAACAGAUUCUUUGAAACUCCUUAGCUGUGAGCCUUCUUAAAGCUUCAUAGUUUGUAGUGAGUGACAGCAGCAGACAGAGCAGGUGUUCAGUGCAGACUGUGUUGCAUUCUGACUGACUUAACCUGGUGUCAAUAAAGUCUAUAACAUGAUUACUUUAAACAUGGAAAAUCAUAUGGCAUCCACACUCCUGGGGAUCCAAACUAACCUUCAAAGAUGCUUACCAUCAGUGAAAGUUGUUUCUGUUGUUAGAACAUUAAAUAUGGGUAUACAUUUUGAAGUGGUCUCCUUUUUUACUUUAAGUGGUUUCUUAGUGGUGUCAUACUUGAUUCCAGUCAGUUCCACUUCUUUUAGGAUGGGGUCAAAAUCUAAGAAACAGGUAUUUCAAAUCAUGGCAGGUCAUAGCUACAGUAUCUAUAUUGCUAGACACUACUAGAAGAUGAGAACAAUUCCUGAACCAGCCCCUUAAUAAUAUGACUCCCACUGGCAGUGGCAGAACAACAUAGUACUGGGCCUGGGUGCAGAUUACCAUAAUUCAGUUCCCAUAAAAGGGAAACCAGUUGCUUGGGCAAACACUAGAAUACCAAUCAUCUUCCUACAUCAAGCCUCAUUAUAAUCAAUUAGAAAAUAGUACAUACUCACACCAGUAAAAAUUAACAUCAAUCAUCAAAAAGGCUAGGGACACUUUGGCAGAUGCAGCAUAGAUAAAAUUAAGCAGUCAACAGCAAAACGUAACACGGCUAUGGUAUAUUACACAUGUAGAUGUAUAAGCAAUAUAAUUAACACCAAAACAAGUGCAGUCCAACAACUACUAUAGGCUGAUUCAAAACAGAGUGUGUGUUUAUUUUUGGACACUGCCUAAUUCAGGUAUGGGAUUCCAAAAUAGCAAAAAAAAAUCAUGUGGUGGGGUAGGGUGGGGGGUGUUAUAGUCAAAAUGUGG